rnacentral:lncRNA from 1 species
UAAACAAUACAAAUAUCCUCCCCAUGAAAAAUGGGAGAAAUACAAACAUACUAAAAAAAAUUGAAAUUGAGAUUUAAAAUUUUAAAAAGCCUUUUAUUCUGUGGAGGUGGUAUGAAGGGAAUUAUGCCUGUUUAGCUCCAUUGAAGACAGGUUUUAAUUGAAGUCCUGACAGGCCUGCCAGUGUGGCCCACAGGACAGCACUCUGCUGGGUUUGCAUAUAGUAGAAGUACUGACAACUGUGUAGCACACAGUACAUUCUACAGGAUUUACAGAAGUCCUUUUGUUGGUUUUUCCUCAAGGGCCUGUGAUUAUAUUUUCUCUAAGUGUUUCUCAGCAGCCACCUCAUUGUCACUAAACUUAGCCAUGUGGCCAAAUUUUGACAAAAUGGAGCACUGAAAAAUAACCCAGGAUGCCAUUCUUUCUUUUGGGUUGGCAAUCUGCUUCGCACUGCACUGAGAUGAAAUGAGCCCGAGGUAAGCCUCUGCAGAGUGGACAAACCGGCCCAGCCGUCCUGUGUACGCAAGCACCGUACAACUGAGCCCCAUCCCUCAUCCAUCCCUCUGAUUGGGUAGGAAUUCUCUAGAAUACUAAGCUUUACACCAGUAGAAUUGGUAUGAAUUUGCCAAAACUUCUUUUCUAAAUUAGAAUCACAAAACUUGAAAUGCAACUACCAUUGUUUCCAGCAUGGGACUCCUCUGGGGAGCAAUAAGGGACAUGUCUGCUAGAUCUGGGUCAUGAUAAAGUGAACAGUUGUCAAAUGCACUAAAGUCUUCGAAGCACUUCAAAGACCAGAAUCGCCAGUUGUUUGGAUUUACUUGAUAAGCUUUGCUUGAUGUGUUUUAUUAAAACACAAACAUGAAAUUAAAAUGAAACACAAAAUGUCCUUACACAGCAGGGACCUUAGUGUUUUAUGCUCAGUGCUGCUCCUUGGGCCAUUUGAAAGUGCUUUUCUUCCUGGACUAUGAUUUUCCCAGGUAGUAAGUUUACUGGCCAUUGUAUUUUCCAGUAGGUUUAAAAUGUUUGGGCAUUUUCUUCAGAAAAUGAUAAAAAGUUAAAUUUCGAAAUAAUUGCUGUAAAUUCUUGUGCAACUGUAUCUACCCUCAGGCCACUGGUCCAUGAUACACAACAGCAGUUUUCCAGAGAUACAUUAAAUACUAGGUCUAGUUUUCUUCUGUUUUGUAGCACUUGCUAGAAAAAGAACCAACUGUAGCACAAACGAAGACUAGCCAUUCUGGAGCAUCUCUACAAAGCCUAGUGUGUUGACAUAAGUCCAGGAGCAGGCGCUCCUUCUACACAGUCACAUCACUGGAGGUCCGCCUGGCUCUGUUGGAGGCCAUUUUUCUUUUGCUGUCUUGUUCAGAAUGGGGUUGGGGGCCUAAGUGUCCUUAUGAAGCUGUGAUCCAGGACAAGAGCGUGGGGGUGGGGUGUGUGUGUGUUCCUUCACUUUCCUGUGUCUGGCAACUCAACAGCGAUUGUUUCUUAGACUAGCCCUCAUGGUUAUUAAAUCUAGCAC